rnacentral:rRNA from 1 species
CUGGUUGAUCCUGCCAGUGAUCAUAUUCUCCGAUCAAAGACUAAGCCAUGCAUGUCCAAGACUAAACAAGUUGUCAGUGAAUCUGCGUAUGGCUCAAUAAACGAACCAUAACCUCCCCGAGAACAAAGUACAACUGGAUAACCGUUGUAAUUCAAGGGCUAAUCAUGCGUCAAUAGGGGCUUCUUCAUUGGAGCUUCUGCAUUUGUUAGUCUCAAAUCAACAUUCUGUGAUGAAUCAUGACAAACUGCGGAUCCUCAUGUUGCAAAAAACGGAGGACGACUCGGUCGGGUCUUUCCCCUAUCAGGUCUCGUAGGGAGUGUAUUGUACUCUCUAGCCUUUGACGGGUAACGGAGAAUUAGGGUUCGAUUCCGGAGAAGGAGCCUGAGAGACGGCUACUACAUCUAAGGAAGGCAGCAGGCGCGCAAAUUUCCCAAUGCUCAUCGAGCGAGGAAGUGACGAUCAAUAAUAAUGUGCGGGGUUUUACCCUGUGCAAUUACAAUGAGUAAAAUGUACAAGCGUUUUCCAUGAUCAAUUGGAGGGCAAGUCUGGU